rnacentral:lncRNA from 1 species
GAAUUUCAUCUUCUUGAUUUCACCAGCCACAGAUAUGUAAAAAGAGCCUCCACAGCUGGGUACAGUGGUGCACGCCUGUUAUCCUAGUGACUUAGCAGGCUGAGGCAGGAACAUUACAAAGUCAGGGACAGCCCAGCAAUUUAGCAAGACCAGGUCUCAGAAUAAAAUAAAAAGGGCUGGGGAUGUAGCUCAGUAGUAGAAUGCCACUGGGUUCAAUCCCAAGUACCCGCAAAAGAAACAAAUAAGUAAAAUAAAAUAAAAAGAACAUCUACAAAGGCCAAUUUGAUGAGAAAAGAAAACUUUAGCAGAAUUCAGAGGAUGCAUUCUUCAGACAGGGACUCAUGAUCCCUCAGAAACCUCCCCCAGAAAAGAGACCUCAGCAGACUGCUCAUGUUUUCAGACCCAUACAGAGAGCCAGGUGCAGAUCCAAGUUCUCCCUCUUGGGCUGUGACCUCCUUCCUUCAGGUAACACAACUGGGGGAGGGCCUAAGUGGGACAAAAGAAGAAAAGAGAAGAAUCAAGAGUUGGUGAUUCAUCCAUUCAUACCAGGUCACCAUACGCCUUCUGCAUUAUUUGUUCCCUAACUUUUAAUGUGGAUUCAUGUGGCUCAGUUGGGGAAUGGUUGAAAGGAAUAACUAGGUUUAUAGGAAGUGUUUGAAUCAUGUCUCUCCCAAAGUAAAGGGAAACAGCAUCUUCAUUUAGUUACAAAGCUGGAUUUGUUUGUUAAGUUUUAGUCAGUUCUCUUUUGAGCAUUUUGUUAAUUAAAUAUUAUUUUGGAUGAAAUGUCAGUAUAUCAUGAUGCCAUAAUAAUGGCUUCCACACUGAGGUUCUGAACUACUGAGUAGUCCUGCUCCACGUGCCUUCAGAAUAUCAAAGGACUAAAUAAUAUUUAUUGAGGUACUAAUAGGAAUUAUAGUUUAGAUUCUAUAGUUGAGUAAUAGCAUCUCCCAGUUUCUAUUAAUACUAAAAAAAACAAAAGUAAGCAUUUACUGGGCAUUUACCGUGUGCUGGGCAUUGUCCCGAUAACCUACACAGAUUCUCACUUAAUUCUUUCCCUCACCCUCUGAACUAGGUACUGUUUUCAUCUUCAUUUUACAAACGGAGGUUUAAUGAACUAUGGUGCUCGCUGUAUGCAGAGCUCACACCUUAGCUCCCCCAACCCAUGUUCAACUUCCCCUACAGGCAUGGCAUAUUUAGUAAAAGGCUGUCCUUUCUUCUGUGUCACAUACUAGAAAUGGGAGGAAGUGGCAUGAGAGAACAGAUAUGCAGGUUUGUGUGCCUGAGAGGGAGCGUACCCUAAUAGGGAUGCAAAUGAAUUUUGCUCUGAUGAAUUUUACUCUCCUAGGACUCCCCCACCUCGUGGUAAUUUUUACAGCAGCUUUGAAUGUUUCCUUGCAGAGAAGCAAACUCAAGGCUCUUUAUUCAUGUAAAGAAAAAAAAAAAAAGUCAAGCCAGUUGUAGUGGCACACAUCUGUAAUCCAGCGACUGGAGGCUGAGGCAGGAGGAUGGCAGGUUCAAGCCCAGCCUGGACAAUUUAGUAAGGCCCUGUCUCAAAAUGAAAAAUGAAAGGCUGGAAUGUGGCUUAGUGGUAGAGCACCCUGAGUUCAAUCCCCAGCACUGGGGUGGAGGGGUGGUAGGGAUGGUCAAGUUGCACUUACAUGGAACAAACGUGAAUCAGAGGAUUUUUUUUUCUAUUAAGAAAUUAGAAUAAAAAGAAUGUUACUUAUACUGAUUUCCUUAUUUUGCAGAGAAAAUACAGAGUAUAUUUAGAAAUUCAGGGCUUAUUUUCUUUCUCAUUUAGAAACAUGAAGUUAUUCAUAGUUACUUAUCCAAUUAAACUGUUAGAUCAUUUCACUGGGCCAUUUUACUAUGAUAUAUCCUGAAAGCAGUGAAUCAGGUAACACCUCUUUCGCAUAUUCACUCAAAAGCAAACCCAUUUUUAGUAACCUGUGUUUCUGCUUUCAUGCUUUUCAGUUAAGGUAAAUGUGCAUGCCUACAAAAAUGCCUGGCCAAAAGGUGGCUCUGGAAGCCAGCAGUCUUCUCCAGUACAAACGAGACUCCCUGGAGCUUACCACAGCCCAUCCUUCCCUCCCCUGCAAAGGUCAUUCUUUAAUCUGCUCUGUGAAAAUCUUCACCAGGUAUUCAUUUUGGGGACAGGCAGCCUAUUCCAAUGUUCUAAAUGGUGGAGAUGAUUUCCUAUGUUUGGCCAAAUUUUGUGUUAAGACUUCUUCCACCCCAGCUUUUCUUUCUGGAAUGAGACACAGAGUGGAAUAGCAUAAUUAACAUACACUUAUUGAUUACUUCCAAUAGGCAAAACAGUUGUGAAAGGUAUCAGAAUGUAAAUGUGUAUGCUGUGUGACAUUAACCUUUAUGUGGCAGAAUAGCAUGGACUUUGAAGUCAGAUAGUUGCAGAAAUAAUGCUGACUGCCUGCCAGGCAGUGUUGCAAGCACGUCAGAUAAGUUACUCAUUGGUCCUGACCACAGCCCUCUGAGGUGUGUACUGUCAUGUUCCCAUUUCACAGAUGAGGAAACAAAGUUAUGAAACUCGUUCAAAGUCCGGGCCAGUAAGUGUGAGAACUACUGUUUGAAGUCAGAUGUUCUGGCUGGUCUCUUGGCUCCUGGGACUCAUGGCCAAAGCUGCACCUAUUAGCCAAGUGAAGGGGACGUGUGUGUUAUGGUGAUCGCACAUCUAGUUCAUCUAUGGAUUUCUUUUCAUUUUGUUUUUUUGUUGUUGUUGUUUUUUCCCCCUAAGUUUAGGCCCCACCCAGAAUUUCUGAUUCAUUCAAAUACUCUGUGGUAUGUGGUUUGUUGUCACCAAUUUGAGACUCGUGUCAACAUUGCUUCAGAAUAAGCAGGGUGGUUUUUAAAUUAAUCUUCUUGAUAACUGCAUAACUCAGUGCAGUGUCAGUCAGCAUGAAUAGGAUUAAGUUUGGGGUGAUAUUGAAGAGUCUGACUUCAUAAUCCCAUAGCAGUUGUUUCCCGGGAUACUUAAAACAUACUUCCUUGCUCCAUGUAUUGCUGAAAUAUUUAUCUGCGUAUAUACCCAGGGUAGCACAUUUCAGGAAGAGCUGAUGCCAGUAAAAAGGAAUGUUAUUAUUUUCCUCUAUAUUGAUAGUUUCUUUGCUGUGACCCAGUGAACAUUCUGAAAGUAAAACUUUCAUGUAUUUAUAACAACACCUACAAACAUUUUGCAUUUUUAGGUCUGUACUUAGUGGUACUCACGAGGUUAUAAAUAUUCUAGUUGAUACAGGUUUCUCAUCACUAAGUCUCUGGAUCAAGAGGAGAUUAUUUGUCAACAUGCUACCUUCUGAAAGUUAGAGGGGCCUCCUAAGGAAAAUGUAAUUACUUCUUUAAUGCAAUUAUUUAAUGAGAAUUUGGGGCAGUUGAUUUUACUGAGAUUAGUUAAGGAACUUUUGACUUUUAGAAAGAAAAUGUUAUAUAGUUUGAGAACUGUUAUCCUGACCAUAUAAUUUUGGCUUUUGUGAACUAGAACUGGGUUACUAUAUUUUAGAUGCCAGUCCAAGUCAGAUCCAAGGUGAUAAGGCAGAUUAGAGAUCUGAGAGGCUGUGGAGUCUCAGUAGGGUGGCACUGUUCCAUUCAACAGUCACUUAUCAAGCUUCUCUAAUUCACUAGACACCUGGGAUGCACACAUGGAAAGGUUAUUGUCCCUGCUCUCAAGUGUACAUCUGUGAGGUCACUGGGGUAGACAGGGAUGCAGUGUUCAGCAAGUGUUAGAGAGGAGGAAGAUCCAAGGUGCUUUGAGUAGACAGAAUAAUCACUUACCCUGGCCUGAGGAGGGGACAGAAAGGUGAUCACGGGGGCUGGUCUGCAAAGGCUCCCUGAGGAGGGAGUAGAGUGCUGAGGUGAGUCUUUGAGGACUGGUUAGUACUACCAAGGUGAAGAAUGGGUGAGAGAACAUUCUAACUGGGCUGUCAUGUCAGCUCCCAGUAGUGACCUGUCUGACCCACUGACUUCCAAUCCUGUCAUUAUUUGACCUUAAAAAUUACUUCUGUAUCACAGUAAUUAGCUGGUUUUAUGAAGUAUUACUUAAAGGAAAUGAAACAUUUGGGCUUUGACUUUUUGUCCCUGAAAUGAACAGUGCCUGUGACCAUUUCUCCUGGCCUCCUCCAUCACAACUUGUCAGGGUUGGCUCAGGAAUAUGCUAGAACCCCAGCUACUCAGAUCAAAGAGAAAGGGAGAGGGGUGCUAAGGAAAACUGCCUCCUUGUGGUUGGCAUCCAGAGGAAACUGUAAAGCUGGUGGCAGUCCUAGUGAACAGAAUCCCAAGGAGUUACUGAACAUGAUGAUUUCCUGGCCAGAAGUAGCAGGUGUCAGUGGUUCAUGGUAUCUAGCUCAUGUCACUUCCUAGCUCAGUGACCUUCAGCAAAUUAGCCUCUUAAUUCUUGGUUUUCUGCUCUAAAAUAAGAAUAAAAACAGUAUACCCCACUACCCUAUGAGGCUGAGGGUAGAGUGUGAGAUGAAAUUAACUUAUUCAUGGGAAGCAUGUGGAACAAGGUAUUAGCUACUAGGGGACAGAGUCCCAGAUCCUUCAGAAGGGGCAGGCAAGAUUUCAGGACCUCUUCUGCCACUACUGAACUCCAGGUCUGCCCAAGAUUAGUUUACCACACUAGGCAGUGUGUUUUUUGCUUGCAUUGCAUGUGCACCAGGGAUAGAUGAGAGGAAUCGGUCCAUGCAAAGACCUGAUGUGGGAGCCUGUGGGGAGGUCCCCUUGGAAAGGGGAAGGAAAGUAGGAGAUGACAUCAGAGAGCUGAUAAGGGGCAGAUGGCACAGGGCCUCCCAGGCCAUUUGAAGGAGUUCAGCUUUUACUUGGUGCUCAGCAGGAAGUGAAAUUGGGAGAAGAAUGACAGCAACUACUGCUAAGUGCUUGACCUGUGUUUUCCGAUUUAAUCAGAUAGAACGAGCAGAUUAGAACACUGAUGUAGACCAAAUGACACUGUCCCCAGAAGGAAGUUGAGGUGAAAGGGGCUGGGGAGCUUAUGGGGCAGUAUUUGAUCCUAGAUCUGUGUGACUUCUUAUCAUCCUGUAAUUUAGUGAGUAUAGGGAUGUGCUUGCCACCAGAUUGGGUGAAACAGACUAGUUGUAGACUCCAUUUGACCACUCUGUAAGACCCCUGCUCAGGAACUGGAUAGGAAAUUGGUGCCUAUGCAUUCAAACGACUCUGAAAAUCAGGAACAAAAAAUCUUGGAUACAUCACACAGGUAUUUUUCCUGGGGCACAAAGCAGAUAAAGUGUUCAAGAGCUGACGCUUCUCACCUCCAGCAUCUCUAUUUUUCAACUGAACACUAUAAAUGCUCACUGUUCCAACAUUUUGAAACUCCAAUGUUGCUGAAUGCUUUUUUAAGGGCAGGAUAGAAUCAAAGGCCAAAAUAUGAAAGGUUCAGUUUCCUGUUACUGACCAUAUAGAGAAGAAAAUGAGCCUUCAGAGCAGCUGCCUGUACCUAUAAACCUGUGCUCAGCUCUGACACAGAGGAGCCUAUGGGAAGGGUCAGGCUCCUUACUCUGGGAGAUAUUGUUCUGAACUGAAUGGACACCCCCAAAGUCAAGUUGCUUGAUCAAAACCAAACCAAGGUGUAGAACAUGAAAGUCAGUCAGAAGUCUAAUUGAAAAUAAGUUAAUUCAUUUUUCAGGACCAAAUAAACUGGACCUGCCCAGUAAUCUUUUUAAUUCAUACUUAACUAAUUUGAAAUUUGUGAUGACCAUUGAAGGAGCUGAACUAUAAGGCAGUUUUAUAAAUUAACUGUCUACUAUUUGCAAAGUGCACUUCUGGGUACCAAAAAAUGCAAGGAUAAGUGGCUUCUGUACCCUCUUAACUGUGUAGGAGAUGCAAGUAAUUUAAAAGUACUUAGGGUGCACUGUACUACCCCGUUGGCUAUAGACAUCCAUUGCUAUUGUACACAACUAAGUAAGCUGUAUACUUAGCCAAAAUGGAGAGAGAAAAUUUAAAUGGUGCAGGUAAUUUCUAUGUAGCAUUUUCACACUGAGCAUGAGAUGAGAGAGCCCAACCUGCUGUUCCCUCAGGUGGCCUCAGCUUCCAUGCCACACUCACAAUGUAAAAUACAUUGCAUCAAGUGUGAUUUUUAAAAACAUUUUUAUGGUACUGCGGAUUAAACCCAGGGGCACUGAGCCACAUCCCCAGCCCUUUUUAUUUUUUAUUUUGAGACAGGGUCUCACUAAGUUGCUUAAGGCCUCACUAAGUUGCUGAGGAUGGCUUUGAACUUAUGAUCUUCCUACCUCAGCCUUCUGAGUCAUUGGGAUUACAGGCGUGCACCACCAAACUGGCAAGAAGGAGAAAUUGUCCAUCUAAUAUGACCCAAGGUGCAUAUCAACUACUUCUUGUGCUGGCCAAAGAAGCAACAUCCUUUCCAAUCCUGGCUGGGUUUGACCUUUCUAAGAGAUGGUUGGAUUGGCUUUGACUUCUAUGAGAUUUUCAUCCCGUACAUUGACACCAGUUUAUUCUCUACCUAAGACAUAAAUUCAUCACACUGACAAGAUAAACAGACUUGUCAGUGAUAAUAAAUCUGACAGAUUCAGACCAUGGACAAGUUAUUUGACUUCUAUUUAUAGCUAAUGAUUAACCUCUUUAUUUUUAGAAAAACCUAUACAGCAAAGAUACUUUCCAAGCUUUAUUGGCAUAGUUGUGAUGAUUAAAUGAAUAAUAAGGGAAGAUUCUGGCAAGAUAUUUAGCAUAUUAAGUGGUAGCUGCCAACCCAGUCCUAGCAGGUGUGGAUGUAGGUUUUACCUAUGGCCGGUUUUUAGGCAGAGGAACGAUGUGGAAUAGGACUUUGGUGUGCCUGUGAUGUAUGGGCUGAAGGAUAGACCUGGAGCAAGGAAACGAGCUGGCAGGUAGUUUCCGUGGUUUAGACAAAUAUGAAGGCCUCAAUGAAGGUAAUGGGUGGAGAGGAGGAAUCCAGGUUUGGGACUGUUACCAGCAGAACUGCCAAUUCUUGGGGACUGUGGUUUAAGAGACAGUGGGAAGAAGUUCAGAAGUGAAGCAUGGCUUUUGGUUUUCCAGCCUAGGGGGUUAAAUGACAGAGAUACUGAAUUCACUGGUACAUGGAAUAAUAAAAAGUACUUUUUUAUGGCAGUCUGAAAUCAUAUACCUGCCACUGAGCUAAGGUGUUUAAUACAUUAUUUGAUUUAGUCACAGCAACCUUAGAGAAUAAGCAGAAUCAUCACCAUCUAAUUGUACUGAAAAUCUAAACUCAGGGGUCCAAAGUCAUGACUAGUCAGUGUCUACCUAGGACUUGAACAUGGAUUUGUCUGGAAGCGAAGGCUCCCUUUAAACCACUUCAAAUAAAUAAGCCUCUCUCUGGAAGAGGGGAAAUGGAAUGGAGACAGGACAGAAAGAAAACUUAGUUCUGGAGACUGUUUGAGUUGCUCAUGUCAGCCUGAGAUAUCUAGAGGGCAGUUGGAAAAUCAGAUCUGUAGCUCAGGGAAGGGCUGAGGAGCCACGUGAGGAUCUCUGCACUUCAGUUUUCACAUCUGUAAAGUGAGGAAAAUAAUAGUACCCCUGGUUCUUAGGGGUCCCUAAGGAACAUAGAAGUCAGUCCGUGUAAAGCACAAGGGCUGUAGAGCAGGAGUUAGGUGUUAGUGUUGCCUCUCUUUGAUGCCAUUCCAUACAACAGCAUGUUCAGAUGUGGACACUGCUGGCGAGGACAGAUUCAUUCCACCCACUGCCAGUCACAUAUACGCCAGCUCUCCUCUCGCUGAAUGUGGAAGAAGAGGUCCAGCAUUUGUCUCUUCUUUUAACAUUGAGGAUUCCUGGCCUGUGGUAGAACUGAGUGAUAGUUCCUAGUCUGUAGCUUGAAUUUGACUAUCUCCUCUGUAAAAUAGAAGCCCCUUCCUUCCAAUCCCUCUUCAUUCCAUGUGCAGUGCUGUGUUUAGAAACCCCCAGUCUGGGAGGACAGUGGAAAGCAUGGCUUAGGAUGCCAAGGAGGCCAGGUGACUGGGCAGCCAGCUCUCCCCUGGUUUCUACUCCAUAGUGUGCCCUCAGAUCAGAGGGGAAUAUGAUUCCUUUCUCCCUAGCUGAACCUUUCUGCCAGUCCUGUUGAGCUGCCACUUGGAAGAUCCUGGUUGACAUCUCCUGGACUCUUUUUUCUCUGGUGACAGCAAAGAUCAAAUUCUGGAUUUUUAAAUCCUGGUAGGGGCUGGAAAUAGUUGGUUGUGCCUCAUUGUGAAGCCAUCUCAUCUCCCUCGCAAGCACCUCUCUAAAUUUGCCUAGAGAUCUUGGGAUACCUGCCUCUUCCAACAGGCAGAAGUGUAGAUUUGAUGUUGUUAGUGGAAGAAACCCUUCUUGGACCUCUCCCUGAGGCCUCACGGGUAGAGUUAUAAGGACUCUGCUGAGCAAGCAGCAGCACAGUGGGCUCCAUGGAGAUGUGCCAGCACUAGUUUGCCUCAAGUGCGCACCGAGGGCAGACAGCAGCACUCUGUGAGCUGGAUCCAGCCCACAAAUGUGUUGGCUUUGGCCCACACAGUUGUGUAUUACAUAUAUCAAUUAGUUGCAACAUACAAUAAUUGGGAGGUUUCACAUUAAAAUCAGCAUUUCUAACUUUUUUUUUUCAGUAUCGUCUCUGACCACGUAUCCUCUGACCACAUGCAAACAGUCUGCCCAAAUGAGAUGGUGGCCCUCCUUUCCACUCUACCUUGCCACAGCCUCCACCUGGCCAAAUCCUAUUCACAUGUUCAUUUCCUAGCCUUGAAGGCAUGAGAGUUUAUAAACCUUCCCACAGAGCCCUGUGCCAUUUCUCUGCAAUAUAAUCCCAAAUGAAAAGCAAAAAUUCUUCUCAUUACACUCUCUGACCUAGUUUUAACAAGGUGCUGAAUAACUAAAUCUCAAGCCUUUGCUAUUGAUUUAAAGAAAGUAAAGCAUUCUUUUUGUCAUUUAUUUCAAAAUCAGAGUUGAAGUUUAUCCUCGCCUGAUAUUCCUGAGUCAGAGAAGUCUGCUUCCUUUGACCCUCUUUAUGGUAGCGUUUUUUUGCUGUUCUGGUUUCUUCCAGCAAUACAGGCCAAACAGCAACCUGCAGUCUGACCCUCUGGCCUUGUCCUUAGUCAUCUGCUUUUGGCUGCAGGUAGAUUGAGGUUGUAGUUUAUAUCUGGGGAAGGAAGCAUGGAGAUACAGAGGGGAAACAAGACACGUGUUUCUCUUCGAGAAUGGAAAACUGUCCUGAGGCCACGUGAUACACAGGCAGCAUGCCCAAAAAUAUUUGCAAAUUAUUUUUUAUUAAGCAUUUUUUGAGUUGUAGAUAGACGCUGUACUUUUUUAUUUUAUUUAUUUUUAAUGUGCUGAGGCGCGAACCCCCAGUGCGUCCCACAUGCUAAGCAAGCGCUCUCCCAUUGAGCUCCAGCUCUAGCCCCAGAUCAUUUUUAUUGUGAAGCUGUUUGCCUCCUCCUUUUUUUUAACCAGCUGCAUGGCCAGCCCCCUCCCCCAGGCUCUUCAGCCCACCCAUUUGGGUUAGCAUGCCUCACUUAGUGAAAUCUGCCCCAGCCCGAAUUCUUGCCCCUUUGUGCCAUGUCUUUACUCUGAAGAUGAAAGGGGAAGUGCAUUUCUGUUGCCUCCUGCUAGCCACUUGCGGGCAAUUUGAGCAUGAAAACAGAAGCCAGCAUGCAGUGCUCCCUGAAGGAAUUGUGUUGUGGAGGCACAAAGUGGAGUGAUCGCUGGGUGGAAGUGUAACCAGCGUACAGUUCCUUAAACACCUUGGGAGCUUGGGGCCAAGAGUCACGGCAUUGUCAUCAUUGUUUCUCUUUACCAUAGAUACGUUUUAUUAAUUUGUUCAAAUUCCCAUGGCUCCAGUUUCACAUGAGGUCGUGGACUUCUCAGUCAGAAAGUUUUUAGCAGCUUUGGUAGGUCUGAAAUUUCAGAGUAUUGAGCAAGGCCUACACUGAGCUGCAGCAUGAUCUAAUAAGAUUGGACUGUCAAAACAAGAAGCACCAGUCUGUGGUUCAAAGGUUUUUAAGAAGGAAAUUCGAAGCUCAGCUGUGAGAACCUCAGAAAGAUCAUAAAAUAUGGAGGAUGGAAGCCGAUUUCCUUUUCAUUUCUACUGUAAUAGAUGGGACACUUGUUGUAUAUUUAAACAGAGACACUGAAGUGGAAUGAGAUAUGAUUAAAUAGAAACAAUAGAUUGUAUCUUUCCUUUCUAUUGGGAAACUCUAAUCGGUUGUGUAAUUAGUAGGGUGAAGCAUCAGAAAAAUACUUGAAACAUUUUGUUAAAGCCCUGAAGGGCCCUCAGGGAGACUAGCUCCAAAAUGUCAAAAGAGACCAUCCAUAACUCAGACCAAGUUAGACAGGAAGGAGUUGCAUUCCCAGCUCACCAGCUGUGUGAUUUGGGGCAAGUUAUUUAACCUUUUUUGCUCUUUUUUUUUCUCCCCAAAAUGAGAAUUGGGACAUUAUAGGAUUGUCAUGGGGCUUCAAAGAAAUAAUGUGUGCAGAACGCUUGGAGCCGUGCCUGGCAUCCAGUGAGUGCCCAAUAAAUGAUCCCAGCAGCUAUUAGGUAACAUGGAAAUGUGUAAUCGCCGUGUGGGAUACUCAAAACAGUCUUCAAAAUGAAAACCAGAGUCACAGAUAGUUUUAUUUCUGUUUUCCGUAACUACAUUUAAUCCCCAGUUCCUUUAAGCUCCUCUCAUUUUUCUCUAGUGUCCCUAGAGUAUCUGGUAGUUUCUUGCUCGCCUUACCAUUCUCACAAAUAAAUGCUCAAGACUAAAUCUCAAGGAACGUUUAGGCUGGUGCUGGGGCUGAGUCACUAUGACCUGCCUGGGCUCCUAGGUUACACUCCUUCCCCUAUUCAUUUAUUGAAGUGUGUAUUCGAAUCCUAUGUCUUGCUGGAUUACAAUGUAACCAUUAACAAGAUGUGUGUACGCAAUGCCUAUGUGUGUAAUCACUUGUAAUAAAACAUUAAUAAAGAAUAUGGUUUAUUGAUGAAUAUAUAGAGACUGUAAGGGAAAAACUCAGUGCUAAUGGUGAUCUCACUUUUAAUAUGUUAGAUAACUACUGCAAAUGAAACCUAAAUGAUUUUAUCAGAUAAAUGGGGUCAAAGUUACACUGCUGCAGUUACUGCUUUCGAACCAUCUCUCUGUGACUUGGGAAGAUUUUGUUCUGGGGACGCUACCAAGGCAUUGGCUCUGGCCCACUGGCAGAGGACUUUGAUUUGUGCAUCCACAGCUAAAAGCAGAAGCAGGUAAUUCCCUUCUUCUACCAGAUAACAGAAACCAUCAAGGAAACCACUCUCCCCAAUUCUAGAUGGAAUUAGACACCAACUAAGAAUCCUCUUUAGCUUCGUUCUUUGCUUCCUUUAAAAUCCAAAAUCCCUGUAGAAGUCUGAUAAAAAUGCACAAAUUAUUUGAUGUUUCAUUUUUCUCAAAAAAUCUUCAAAGAAGGGAAAUCUUCCGGUCACCUUGGACUUUGAGAAACAUAGUCAAUAAAAACAUUUUAUUUGCUCCAACAUAGUUAUGAUGUCACUAGAAAUUCUUGAUAAAGUUGUCAGCAUGAGUAUGCUGUUCAACUAAUAAGCCAGGCUUUCUUUCCGGAGUGUUGUGCAAUAGAUGAGCAUUUCCCCU